CUUGAGCUGACUUAGAAUUUCCAAAAGAACUUGUUUGAAAUAAACCCCUUAAGCUUUGGGGCUUUAAUAUGAGCCCAUAUUGAGUAGGAGCGAGGCAAAGCCGAAUUGUUCGUAGCCUGCGGUAAUUCCAGACCUCUUUACUCCCUUAAUCAUGAAACAAAACACAUCCUUGUCAGAACAUGGAUGGACUUCAACUUUUUGAUUACUCAAAGUCUUUUCCAUUGAGAUCCUCAAUUUGAUUCAGAUGGAGUUAUCCCUAUCCUGCGAUUCCCGGCUCUUUUGAGUUUACCUGCUGCUUUCCUACGCCUAUAAAAGGGUAGAUCCAAACUUGUUAAGAUACAUAUUCAGCCCUCUUUGCAUGGUAGCAGUUGACAGACACUGAUAGCCUUGAUCACUUAUGCAGCUGGUUCAAGCCCUUAGGCAUCUACUGAUGUUAAGAUAUCUACUUCACAAUUCUCGCGAGACUUGCCACCUUUAAUAGCAGUGUCGGAGGCGUAACAUCAUUCGUCGCAGCAGCGCCUUGCUUCAUUCUGGUGAGGAUAAAUUUCCUUUCCAAGUACUAGGACCAGAUAUAUUGAAAUUGCAAUCCGUCUUUGGUGUCGUGAAGUAGACUUCCGAGACUACAAUCUACACCAGAACCAGGUGUAAAUUCCCCGUGAAUUUACACAGACACGUCCAAACCAUAAUCCGCUUAUACCGUUGGAAAGAGGACUUCUGGGACUAUAAUAUAUACAAAAAUCAGAUCCAGAUUCUAAGUAUAUUUGUACAGAUACUUGUUUGAACUCAGUACUAGAUUUCUGGUGUUCUGUUUUUUACAGCUCUGCGCGCCCCGACUAAAAAAAUCAUAUUUCUUUGCAGACACGUCAAAAUCACAAUCCGUUUACACCGUUGGAAAGGGAACUUCUGGGAUUACAAUAUAUACAAAAAUCAGAUCCAGAUUCUAAGUAUAUUUGUACAGAUACUUGUUUGAACUCAGUACUAGAUUUCUGGCGUUCAACUUUUUACAGCUCUGCGCGCAGAGGCGGAUCCAUGAUUUGAAGUUUAUGAGUUCCUAUUGUAAUCUCAAAUUAA